rnacentral:rRNA from 1 species
GAGUGAAGAGGGAAGAGCUCAUCAUUGGAAUCUGGCAGUGUUGCACUGUCCGAGUUGUAGAUGAGGAGUAGUCCGUCUGGACUGCAUGGCGUCCAAGUACAAUAGGCCGUCAGUGGGACAUCAUAGAGGGUGACAAUCCCGUCCUUGACGCUAAUGUGCAAGUCUAUUACGAUGGCUAUCUCAGAGAGUCGAGCAGUUUGGGAUUUGCUGCUUAAACAUGGGAGGUAGAUUCCUUCUAAAGCUAAAUACAGGCGAGAGACCGAUAGAGAACAAGUACCGCAAGGGAAAGAUGAAAUAGCACUCUGUGAAGGGAGUCAAAAGGCGUGAAAUUGUUGCGAGAGAAGCGAUUCAAGUCAGCGUAGCUAGGCCCAUCAAGCGUCUUCGCUUUGGACUAGCUUUGCCAGCGGUCUUGUCCCUUAAAGAGACUUGACUUGUAAUAUGUCCAGCCUGGCGUGCACAGGCAGCCCCUUCUGGGGGCCAGUGGCAUGGCUGGUGGAAUGGCUUGCAAUCGACCCG